rnacentral:lncRNA from 1 species
UUGGAGAUGGCAUACCGCCAAGUUUUGCAGCUCCGUCUCUUACAGCGGCGGCCGCCUUAUCUGCUCUUUUCUUCUCCACCUUAGCCAUCUUCUUCUUAAACUAAAUCUAAAGACACCCCCCGUCAUGCAAGUUACCUUUUCUUAUCCAGUAGCUCUAGAAUUGGGUGAGCCCUUUUGCAAUAAAAAGAUGUGGGGAUAUAGAAUAAUCGAUGUGAUUCAUUUAAUUUGUUUAUGACAGUGUACCGAUUACAUUUGUUCGUUGUAAUAAAGUUGUCUUUGCAUUGGAAGAUUCAUACACCGAUAAGGUAAGUAGGAGACAGCCUUGGUUGGACCAUCCUCGAUCCUGCCAGUCCUGUCACAUUUUAUGACCAGAAGUUAUGGAUAUAUAGCCUCCUUCACAUCAUAUGGAUCGCAAUAAGUGGUAGUUGAAGUAUAUAAUUUAGUAUGAUUAAUUCAUUUACACGAAAUAGGUUCAUGUAAAAAAUAGACAAAAUGUUUAAGCUGUUGCGUGUGUGUGCAAGUCUACUGCGACAGAUCAAAAAAAAUUGACAGAAGAGUCAUUCUUGAACAUUUCACAUCAGACAUCUGUUUCUUUUGAUGCCUAUGCGGAGAAAGCAGUCUUCCUAAAGUCUAAAAGAAAGCCCGGACUAGAUUCAUCUUUGUUAAUUUAGAAAUUAUUUAUUCAACUACGUUAAUUUGAGAAAUAUUUUCCCCACUGUUCUAAAAUGGGAAAAAACUCGGAAACCUCACCUUUCCAAAUUUUUUCCCACCUGAUGUUGUGCCUGGCCUGCAACCCCCAGAACCUGAGAGACUUCUACGCAUAGCUUUCAGAACUGGCGGUUCCAGUUUCUGAUGUUUGCCUCCAAAUUCUGACCGUCACCCUCUGAGGACCACUUAUCCGGACAGGACUCAGAGGGAUCCCUAUUGCUUGUACUGGGAAAAAAACAGAAUUCCUUGUUUCUACGUUGAGAAAAAUAACAAUAGCGUAGGCAUGAAACCCAUACUUAUUAACUGAAAUUCCAGCGCAGAUCAAGAGCCUCCUCGCUUGCAAUUUGAUUUUUCGCUCAGAUGCAAUUCAAAUUUCAUGCGCUCCAAAAUAUUAUUAUUAAACAUAACCUCAUGGAUUCACCCGUUAAUUUGAAGUCUCUGACUACGUAAGUUGAGAUGUAUUUUGAAUUGUUAUUGAUAUUGACCUGAUCAAACUUUUCAGUUGUAUUUUAAAUUAUUAUUUAUAUUGAUAUGAACAAACCCAUGUAAUUUAAUAGGUUAACUUAUGAUUUGGUUAACCCUUUUAAAUAUCAUCCAAGCUUAGUCUAAAUUUGACAAUGUCAAAACUAAUGAAUGUUUUUUUAAAAAAAAAUAUUGAAACAAUGUCGUUCUAAAAUAAAAUAAUAUAUUUGGAUUAACCUAUCAAUCUAGCAAUUAGAACCCGCAACCUGGUUGAUCCAACUAAACCCGAUCAAGUUGCGACAAAAAUGAAAAUAAUGAACGUAUUUUGUAUCCAAAGUCAGGGUAGAAAUCUCAAUAUGAAAUUGUGUCGAUAAGGAAUCAAGAGAUAAUAAGGAAUAAUGACUGAUUGGGCAAUCCCAAUUCAGUAUGUUAAAUGAAUUGAACAGGACAAGAAUAUAUUCUGUGAUAAUGAAGGUCAAAUAUCAUGGAAAGAUCAAAGAUCAUUACAUUACAAGAGCAAAGAUCAUUACAUUACACUUUAUACUAAAAAGCAUAAGUCUUUCAUUAUGUAAAUUCACAAUGCAAGACUGAUUUUACCCCUUGGUGGGCAAAGUAGCAUGCCUCGGGUUUAGGGGUAUCGUGGUAUUUUUCAUGAAACACAUUGGCCAUUAAUUGAAAAGGAAGGGGUUAGACAAUAUUUUUAUACUUUCUUUGCACAAUGUGAUUACUUAAUUGCCCUUAAAAAACAAAAAAAAUAAUUCAGUUGGGUUGAGUGGUUUUUUAGUUUUUGACUUUAUUUUUAAACAAGUUACUUCAUUACCCUUGAAAAUUAAAAACAAUUAUCUUUGGCUUAGGGGUUUUUUUUGUCAUUAACAUGUGGUCAUUUAUUAGUUAUUGGAUGUUCUUAGUAAGGUAAUUUGAUAAAUAAGAUCAUUAAAAAAAGAAUAAGAAUCUGGUUAGCAGUGUCAGUCACCUUCUAACAGUGUGUGUGACGUCGUCCGGUGAUCAAAACCAUGAUUAUAAGGUGACUUUUAAAGUGUCUCAGCUUCCCCUCCACAGAUCAGCGGUGGAUGUAGCACUAUUGUGAUCAUGUGGCAUAAAUAUCCUUUUAAUUUUUUCCUCUCUUAUACUCGAUUUUUUUCAAUAUUCUCUUUAUUAUAAUUUUAAAAAUUUAGAAUACUUUAUUAAAUGAAUGAUUUUUUAUUUAUUUAAUCCCUGUUCUUUUUGUUGUAAUUUUUUUUAUUGAGAAUAGUUUAUUAAAUUAAUAAUUGUUUUCAAUUUCAUCCCUAAUCAAUAUUUUUAUCUAACAAAUUUAGUUUUCAUUCUUUUAAUUACUAUUUUUUUAAUUUUAUAUGGUUUUUUAAAUUAUUUUUUUCUAGUUUCUUCUUUCUUUAGCUUUUUUACCUAUCAAAUAUAAUAUUUUAUUAUUAUUGUGUUUUUUUGACCUUGCGAGAAUUUUUUAGAUUGAUUUUUUUUAUUAUUAUUAUUUCAUCCUCCGACAUUUUAUUAUUAUUAUUUCAUCCUCCGACAUUUAAUUAGACGGGUGUUUAACUUCUUGGUUGAGUCCGGAUCUAAAUUUAACAGUUUGUGAGUUUAAUAAAUUAACCUCGGUUUCUAAGUUGACACGGGUUUCUUUGGUUGUUUUUUUCCUCUUUUUUUAGCUUAUUUUUCUCAUCCUCUAGCAUUUUGUUAUUUUUAACUCACUUUCUAUUGUAUUUUUAAGUCGUUUCGAAAAUAACAUGGGUUGUCUUGUUUUUUUUUCUUUGUUGAAUUUAGUUUUUAUAAAGGAAUUUUGUUUUUAAAUUGAUUGAUUUCAUCCUCCAACAUUUAAUUUUUUAGGUGUUGAGCUCUUGGGUUGAGACCUAGUCAGAAUUUAACGAAUUGCGGAUUUGAGAGUUUAGCCUGAGUUCACAAGAUUUACUCCGGCUUACUUGGUUUUUUUUCCUUUUUUAAGCUUUUUUGUUUAAUAUUUCAUUCUCUAACAUUCCUUUCUAACUUUAUUUCUAUAGGAUUUAUCUUUUCUUUUAAAAUAACUCGAGUUUACAAAGUUUACUCGAGCUUGUUUGAUUUUUUUUAAGUUUUUUUUUAUAUUACAUUCUUUAACAUUCUCUUUUUAUUUUUUUUCUAUAGGAUUUAUCUUUCCUUUUAAAAUAACAACGUCAACAUUGGGUUUUUAUUUUAUUUUAUCUUUGUUAAUAUUUUCUUCUUUAAAAGAAAUUUUGUUUUUUUAAUUAAAUUAAAUUUAUUUAUUUUAUCCUAUCAUUUAAUUUGAGGCAAUACCUGAAUGAUUUUUUUUAAUUGAUUUUUUUAAAAAUUGAUAUUCUUUGUUUUUUAGCGUUUCUUUCUAUAAAGUUAAUAUGAUAUAAUGUCUAGAAUCAUAAAUUCAACAGGUUUAUCAAGUUUGAUUAGGUCUUUAUUUUACUGUUUUUUAAUUUUUUUUUCAUAACGAAUCAAUGACCAAAAUUUUUGAUUUUUAUAAAAAAAUAAAUUUGCAUUAUCUUAAUCUUUUCUACAAUUAAAAAAUAUAAUAGUUCUACAACAAAUCACGUGCACGUAUCUAGUAACAAUAUCAAAACGAUUGAGGUGGUCAAACAGACAAACUCCGAAAAAGGGCGAUGGGCUCAACGUGGGGGUUUUUUUUUAUCUAUCUGAUCCAUACCAACAAAGCACUCAAAGAAGAAUGGCGAAUCAAUGAGGAGACGUAAUUUUGUCAUGUAAAAUGUAAAGACGAAGCAUUCUUUACAAAGUGUUUGUUUCUAUAUAUUUUAACAAUAUUUGCCUAAUUCGCAUGCCGUCAAAAACUGGGCCGGCAGGAUAAAUUAAGGACUGAAUCCUGGUUUCAUCUUCCACGAUGACGUUCUAGAAUUUCAGUCAAACACUUAAUCAGAUACCUUUCGCAAACAUCUCAUCGUGCAUAUAACUGUUUAUAACUCCCUCAUGCUUAGAUAUCCUCUCUCCCUCUCUAUAAAUAGUUGCAUUCCUAUCCUUGGAGGAUCAUCAUCUGUCUUUGCUGAAGACAUUUUUGAAAGAAUAUAUAUAUUCUCCCCCUCGUUAUUUCCGAAAUCAAAGAAUCCUUAAAGAGAUUGUGCUCCUAAAACGUUGAUUGUCAGAGGCAAGAAAAUGGCUAGCCGGUUGUGUUUCAAUAUUGGGUUCUUGAUUGUUGCAUCGGUGGGUUUGCUUCACGGUGCAUAUGCAGCUAAUACUUACACAGUUGGAGGUGGUUUGGGAUGGAUUGUUCCUCCGAACAGCACUUACUAUGAGGAAUGGGCCAGCCAGAGGACAUUUCAGAUAGGAGACUCCCUCUGUAAGCAUUUCUUGAUCUCUUUAUGAGCUUAUUAACUAAUUACGACUCUAUUUAUUGCGUGCAUGCAUGAUAUGAUACUGAUGUUGGUCCAUAUAUAUCUCGGGUAUGCCUAGUCCUAUACAUCAGGUUUGGUUCUUAAACCUGAGUUAACAUAUAGGUAUAGGUUUGGUGGAUUUGUAAUGAGGAACAACCACCUUCUACACAUAUUUUUCAAGUCGAGUCCCUUACGCACAAUUCGUUGUCCAAAUUAAGGACUCAAAAACAAGCAUGCAUGCAUGGUUUUUCCUCAAAUUAUUCCUACUCCUUUCCCGAUCAAUCAAUGAGACGUGUUUUCCUUUUCAUUUCUUUCAGUUUUCAACUCGACAACCGGAACACAUACCGCAACUCAAGUGAGUACCAAGGAGGAGUAUGAUAAUUGCACAAAGACGGGAUUGGUACUAAAGGUAGGUUUUGGAGUUCAAGUCACUUUCAAUGAAAAUGGUACGCACUACUUCCUCUGCUCUGAAGGGACACACUGUGAGCAAGGCCAGAAGAUGAUAAUCAAGAUUGGAGAUGGCAUAGCGCCAAGUUUUGCAGCUCCGUCUCUUACCGCGGCCGCCGCCUUAUCUGCUCUUUUCUUCUCCACCUUAGCCAUCUUCUUCUUAAACUAAAUCUAAAGACACCCCCCGUCAUGCAAGUUACCUUUUCUUAUCCAGUAGCUCUAGAAUUGGGUGAGCCCUUUGGCAAUAAAAAGAUGUGGGGAUAUAGAAUAAUCGAUGUGAUUCAUUUAAUUUGUUUAUGACAGUGUACCGAUUACAUUUGUUCGUUGUAAUAAAGGUGUCUUUGCAUUGGAAGAUUCAUACACCGAUAAGGUCAGUAGGAGACAGCCUUGGUUGGACCAUCCUCCCGCCAGUCCUGUCACAUUUUAUGACCAGAAGUUAUGGAUAGCCUCCUUGACAUCAUAUGGAUCGCAAUAAGUGGUAGUUGAAUUAUAUAAUUUGGUAUGAUUAAUUCAUUUACACGAAAUAGGUUCAUGUAAAAAAUAGAAAAAAGUUACAAAAUGUUUAAGCUGUUGCGUGUGUGUGUGCAAGUCUACUGCGACAGAACAAAAAAAUUGACAGAAGGGUCAUUCUUGAACAUUUCACAUCAGACAUCUGUUUCUUUAGCUGGACUGUCAAAUGUUAUGCAUGCUUUUGAUGCCUGUGCGGAGAGAGCAAUCUUCCUAAAGUCUAAAGGAAAGCCCGGACUAGCACAAGAUCUCCCACGCUAGAUUCAUCUCUGUUAAUUUAGAAAUUAUUUAUUCAACUAUGUUAAUUUGAGAAAUAUUUUCCCCACUGUUCUAAAAUUGGAAAGGUGAGGUUUCCAAUUUUUUUCCCACCUGAUGUUGUGCCUGGCCUGCAACCCCCAUAACCUGAGACUUCUACGCAUAGCUUUCAGAGCUGACGGAGAGAUCUGAUGAAGGUUCCAGUUUAAUGGUUUAAGCAUCAAAUUUCUGGUUCAACCACUGGGUCAAUUACUAAAGGAAUCCGAAGAUCUCAAUUACCUGUAAGAAUAGUCAUGCAUAAGCAGCUAUACGAAUAAGAACUGUUAAUAUCCAGCACCAGGGGCCGAAGUUAUUACCACCACCAUCGUUGUUGCUGCUGGUCUUAUUUAUAUCUGUUCUUUCUUGUUGUAAUAAAUGUUUGAGAGAAAUCAUUAUAUUAAUUAACAAGAAAUUAAGAUGUGAUUGUGUUAGAAAAAUAAUUAUUCAUAUUGAACAUGCCUUUUGUAACGUGAAGAUUUGUUGUCUUUAAAGUUAAACAUUUCCACAACUAAUCCGAAUAUAUCAAGGAUCGGUCUGAUAUAACAGUACAGGAGAUUCCACUUUAAAAAAAAAAAAAAGUCUUAUUUAUGAUUUUCAUUUGACCCUUUGACUGAAAUAUCAUUUAUUUUUAAGAAGAUAAUUUAAUAAACCCAUGAAAAAUCAUGAAUUAGAUCUCAGAAUCGUGAAAAAAUAUCACUUUUGGACACAAAUCCGAUUGAGAAACACGCCCGGAAUACCAAACCGGGUGUUCGAAGUUAAAACAACAUGUUCGUGUUUUGAAAUGAAAAUUUACUUCCAUUUCUUUACACAAUGGUCCCUCAAAUUUUAAGCUCUUUUCUCUUCAAACUUUAACUCUUUCAAUAUUAUAAUAUAAUUCUUAAAUUCAACUUUUAAUCAUAUGAAUUCAACACGAACAUUAAGAUGAGGUGAUAUUGCACCUAUCCUUUAUGUUACUGAGUUUGAUUGUUGCUUAUUAGCUGGCUAGUCUCAAAGCAGUUUUCAUUGUAUGAGGUGAUAUAUAUUGCAAGGUAGUGUGGUCAUUCAUUUUGUGAUGCUAUAUUAAUAUUAAUAGAAAUAUUUGUUAUCAACAUCCUUCUUAAUCUAGCUUUUCAUAUUAGAGUUUUGUCUCACAAUUGUUUUUAAUUAAUUAGAAAGCUCAAUGUACCUUAACUUAUUAUAAUGAGGAUAUUGAUCUUUUAUUAUAUUAAAUUAAGGAAAUUAUAGAUACUUUAGGAUAUGUAGGCUAUUAUAGAUACAAAUAGUAUAUUGUUGGAGGCCCUAAUGAAAAUUGGUUUGCUAUAUAUUUGUUUAAAUGAAAAAAAUAAUCAAAAGGACCCAAUUUUGUUUCAUUUAAAAAUAAAUUAAAACAAAAACAAAAGGAUACAGUUAUCGAAGGCAUGAACCCAGCAUUACAGCCAAGCUAUAACAAUAAUAAUAAUAAAAAAAAAACAUUCUAGCCUUAUGAACUGAAAAUAUUGCCUACAAACAAAGAAUCCGAUCACUUACAACUUGCAGUUAGGUUCUUAUUUUAUGAACACUUAAUUAAUAAUACACUUUUUUGUAUAUCUCCACCGUAAAACAUUAAUGAUUUCUCUAUUUUUAUGUGUUUUAUAUUUUUAUUUUUUACUUUUUUUCUAUGAGAUUUAUCUUUCGUUUUAAAAUAACAAGGGUUGUCUUGGUUUUUUAUCUUUGUUAAAUUUUGCUUCUUUAAUAGAAAAUUUAUUUUUUAAUAAAAUAAAAUUUAUUUUAUUUUUUUUAACAUCUAUCAUUUAAUUUCUUCAAUUUUCUUCGUCUUUAAAUUUUGCCUCUUCGAAUUGUCCAUAGAUGUUUUUCGCAGACAUGAAAAUUCCGAAUGAAUCCAAAUCUGAAGAACUUUCACCGCUAAGAUGCUAUGUUUGAAAAAAAUAUAUAUAUAUAUUUGCAUCAAAGGACCACAAAAUAGGUUGUCCUAUUGGAGUCUUUCCAUUUGCAAUUUUGUGGCCAGAGAAGUAGCUACGGCCUGAGUUCACUGAUGAUAACAUUAUGGUAGCAUAUAGUACCAGGUUGAUAUUUAUAGAAAAGGCCAAAGGCACAAUAUUCUUUUUUUCAUCUCGAAUCAAUGGUCAAAAUUUAGAUUUUUUAAAAAAUAAAUCUGUAUUAUCUUAAUCUUUUCUACAAUUAAAAAAAUAUAAUAGGUCUCUAAGAAAGCACGUGGCACGUAUCCAGUAACAAUAUCAAAACAAUUGAGGUGGUGAAACAGACAAACUCCAAAAAGGAAGAUGGGCUCAACGUGAGACGGCGUUCUAUAUCAUCACUGUCAUACACACUCUAAGGACUGAAUCCUGGUUUCAUCUUCCAUGGUGACGUUCUCGAAUUGCAGUCAAACACUCAAUUAGUUACCUUUCGCAAACAUCUCAUCGUGCACAUAACUGUUUAUAACUCCCUCACGCUUAGAUAUCCUCUCUCCCUCUCUAUAAAUAGUUGCAUUCCUAUCCUGGGAGGAUCAUCGUCUGUCUUUGCUGAAGACAUUUUUGAAAGAAUAUAGAAUGUAUAUUCUCCCCCUCGUUAUUUCCGAAAUCAAAGAAUCCUUAAAGAGAUUGUGCUCCUAAAACGUUGAUUGUCAGAGGCAAGAAAAUGGCUAGCCGGUUGUGUUUCAACAUUGGGUUCUUGAUUGUUGCAUCGGUGGGUUUGCUUCACGGUGCCUAUGCAGCUAAUGAUUACAUAGUUGGAGAUGAUUUGGGAUGGAUUGUUCCUCCGAACAAGACUUACUAUGAGGAAUGGGCCAGCCAGAGGACAUUUCAGAUAGGAGACACCAUCUGUAAGCAUUUCUUGAUCUCUUUAUGAGCUUAUUAUAUAACUAAUUACGACUCUAUUUAUUGCGUGCAUGCAUGAUAUGAUACUGAUGUUGGUCCAUAUAUAUCUCGGGUAUGCCUAGUCCUAUAUAUCAAGAGGUAUCGUGCCACUUUGGAUCUUAAACCUGAGUUAACAUAUAGGUAUAGGUUUGGUGGGUUUUGUCAUGAGGAACAACCACCUUCCACACAUAUUUUUCAAGUCGAGUCCCUUACGCACAAUUCGUUGUCCAAAUUAAGGACUCAAAAACAAGCAUGCAUGCAUGGUUUUUCCUCAAAUUAUUCCUACUCCUUGCCCGAUCAAUCAAUGAGACGUGUUUUCCUUUUCAUUUCUUUCAGUUUUCAACUCGCCAACCGGAACACAUUUCGCAACUGAAGUAAACUCCAAGGAGGAGUAUGAUAAUUGCACAAAGGCGUUAGGGGCAAGGGCAGUUUUUGGAUUUCAUGUCCCUUUAAAAUAUAAUGCCACGCGCUACUUCCUCUGCUCUGAAGGAACACACUGUGAGCAAGGCCAGAAGGUUGUAAUCAAGAUUGGAGAUGGCGUCAUACCGAUACCGCCAAGUUUUGCAGCUCCAUCUCUUACCGAGGCCGCCGCCUUAUCUGCUCUUUUCUUCUCCACCUUAGCCAUCUUCUUCUUGAACUAAAUCUAAAGACACCCCCCGUCAUGCAAGUUACCUUUUCUUAUCCAGUAGCUCUAGAAUUGGGUGAGCCCUGGAUAGCUUGUUGGUAAUAAUCGAUGUGGGGAUAUGACAGUGUACCGAUUACAUCUGUUCGUUGUAAUAAAGCUGUCUUGCAAUGGAAGAUUCAUAAACCGAU